UUUACUAGGCAGAUGGGCUUCGAUCCCAUGACUCUGCAGUUAACAGCUACAUGCCCCAACCAACAGGCCUCUGCCUA
rnacentral:tRNA from 1 species